GUUACGUUGGCGGUGUGCUUAUGCAUGCAGUCGUACGGGGUACUCUUCGGAUUGUGACCUAGUGGCGAACGGCUGAGUAACGCGUAAGUGAUCUACCUUCAAGUUGGGGAUAACCUGCCGAAAGGCGGCCUAAUACCGAAUGUGGUGGCAAAGCGGAUCUUUGUCAUUAAAGCCGUUAGGCGCUUGGAGAUGAGCUUGCGUCCGAUUAGCUAGUUGGCAGGGUAAUGGCCUACCAAGGCUAUGAUCGGUAGCUGGUCUGAGAGGAUGGUCAGCCAGAUAGGGACUGAGAUACGGCCCUAACUCCUACGGGAGGCAGCAGCAAGGAAUUUUGGGCAAUGAGCGAAAGCUUGACCCAGCAACACCGCGUGAGGGAAGAAGGCUUUCGGGUUGUAAACCUCUUUUCCCGGGGAAGAAUUCUGACGGUACCCGGGGAAUAAGUCUCGGCUAACUACGUGCCAGCAGCCGCGGUAAUACGUAGGAGGCGAACGUUAUCCGGAAUCACUGGGCGUAAAGCGGGAGUAGGCGGCUUUUCAAGUCAGGUGUGAAAUCUUAUGACUUAAUCAGAAGACGGCGCCUGAUACUGGAUGGCUUGAGGGCAGGAGAAGGAAAUGGAAUUCCCGGUGUAGCGGUGAAAUGCGUAGAUAUCGGGAAGAACACCCAGUGGCGAAGGCGAUUUCCUAGUCUGUUUCUGACGCGAGGACCGAAGGCAUGGGGAGUGAAGUGGAGUUAGAUACCCACGUAAUCCAUGCUGUAUAACGGUGGAUACUAGGUAUAGGAGGGAUCGACCCUUUCUGUGCCGAAGCUAACGUUUAAGUUCCCCGCCUGGGGACUACGGCCGCAAGGCUAAAACUCAAGAAAGUUGA
rnacentral:rRNA from 1 species